rnacentral:rRNA from 1 species
GAUGAACGCUGGCGGCGUGCUUAACACAUGCAAGUCGAGCGAAGCACUUAAGUUUGAUUCUUCGGAUGAAGACUUUUGUGACUGAGCGGCGACGGGUGAGUACGCGUGGUAACUGCUCAUACAGGGGAUAACAGUUAGAAAUGGCUGCUAAUACCGCAUAAGACCACAGUACUGCAUGGUACAGUGGUAAAAACUCCGGUGGUAUGAGAUGAACCCGCGUCUGAUUAGGUAGUUGGUGGGGUAACGGCCUACCAAGCCGACGAUCAGUAGCCGGACUGAGAGGUUGAACGGCCACAUUGGGACUGAGACACGGCCCAG